CCGGGCCUGCGGAAGGAUGAACGUAAAUGUCAAAGAUGGCGGCGGAGGGAGGAGGGAAGGAGAUGAACGAGAUCAAGAGUCAAUUUAGCACGCGGGAAGGCGCGUAUAAACUCCUCACGCACUCGGAGUACAGUCGACCGAACCGCGUGCCCUUUAACUCUCAGGGCUCGAACCCCGUCCGAGUGUCGUUCGUCAACGUCAACGAUCAGUCCGGUAACGGCGACAGAAUCUGCUUUAAUGUGGGCCGGGAGCUUUACUUUUACAUCUAUAAAGGCGUCAGGAAGGCUGCUGACUUAAGCAAGCCGAUAGACAAGCGGAUCUACAAGGGAACACAACCCACCUGUCAUGAUUUUAAUCAUCUCACAGCCACGGCGGAGAGUGUUUCCCUGCUCGUGGGCUUCUCCGCUGGGCAGGUCCAGCUCAUCGACCCCAUCAAGAAAGAGACCAGCAAACUCUUUAAUGAAGAAAGACUUAUAGACAAAUCUCGAGUAACCUGUGUCAAGUGGGUGCCGGGGUCCGAGAGUCUUUUUCUCGUCGCUCAUUCCAGCGGAAACAUGUACUUGUAUAAUGUGGAGCACACCUGUGGAACCACGGCUCCUCAUUACCAGAUCCUCAAACAGGGCGAGAACUAUGCCGUCCACACGUGCAAGAGCAAGUCCACGCGGAACCCUCUCCUCAAGUGGACUGUAGGGGAGGGUGCCUUGAACGAAUUUGCCUUCUCACCCGACGGGAAGUUCCUGGCCUGCGUGAGCCAGGACGGCUUCCUGCGGGUCUUCAACUUUGACGCGGUGGAAUUGCACGGGACCAUGAAGAGCUACUUCGGGGGUCUCCUCUGCGCGUGUUGGAGCCCAGACGGGAAGUACAUCGUAGCAGGCGGCGAGGACGAUCUGGUGACCGUCUGGUCGUUUACGGACUGUAGGGUUAUAGCACGUGGACACGGACACAAGUCUUGGGUGAGUGUGGUGGCGUUUGACCACUACACCACGAGCGUUGAGGAGAGCGACCCCAUGGAGUUCAGCGGCAGUGACGAGGACUUUCAGGAUCAAAUCCACUUCGGUCGCGACCGGGCUAACAGCACGCAGUCACGGCUCUCCAAGCGCAAUUCCACGGACAGCCGGCCGGUGAGCGUGACGUACCGCUUCGGCUCUGUGGGGCAGGACACUCAGCUUUGCCUGUGGGACCUCACGGAGGACAUUCUGUUUCCUCACCUGCCCCUGUCCCGAACCAGAACGCACACCAACGUCAUGAACACGGGUGGCGGCACCGGAGCUGCCGUUGUCAUUGCUGCCUCCGCCGCCACCACCACGGCCACCAACUCCGGUGGCAGCGUGGCGCCUGAUUCCCUCCCCGCGCCGCUGCCGCGCUCCAACAGCCUACCGCACUCGGCGGCCGGAGCCAGCAAGAGCGGCGUGACGGAUAAUCCUGUCGCCACGGGUGUCAGCAAGUUUGCCACACUCUCGCUUCACGAUCGCAAAGACCGGCACACGGACAAAGACCACAAGCGGAACCACAGCAUGGGUCACAUCAGCAGCAAGAGCAGCGAUAAACUCAACCUGCUCACCAAAACCAAAACCGACCCGGCCAAAACACUGGGCACGCAGCUCUGCCCGCGUAUGACGGACGUGCCCUUGCUCGAACCUCUCAUCUGUAAAAAGAUUGCACACGAGAGACUGACUGUUCUGAUCUUUCUAGAAGACUGUAUUGUCACUGCUUGUCAGGAGGGAUUUAUUUGCACGUGGGCGAGACCUGGCAAAGUGGUAAGUGCUGCUCUCCCGUCUGAUGCGUUUGUCUGAAAUCACCACCAAAAGUUUCAUUUUUUUGUUUGGGGUCAAAGAAGAGAGCCAAGAUAUUACAUGAUGUCAUAGAAGAAUAUUUACAGAGUAAUCCACCACAUUACGGGAGGUGAAAGAUGUUGCCAUCAUGGUUUUAUUUUGACACAGAGAUGUGUUGGAUCUGUGAGUUGAAUCUGUUGACAGUCCUGUUGCAUCAUGUGCCAAUGGUGACGCAUCACAUAUGAGAAAAAGCACCAUCGGUUCCCCUAAAGGCUGCACAUUCGAAACGCAUUUUAAUUUCCUUUCACAUUCUGAUACCUAAUAAAUCUGUUUGUGUGGAGGAUCUCAGUGACUUAUUCUAGAACUGUACCCAUUUACAAGGCUCAAAAACCAAAUGGGGGUCACUUCGCAUACAGCUGAUGCUUUCUAAUAUCGUUAAAAGAAGAACGUCUCCGUAAGAAUUUCUGGUGAAACUUGAAAUGAACCUUAAUUCAUUUACUGAACUAUAUUGGAUCCUCUUGAUAUUUGGAUCCAACAACUGUUUUGUUGUUUAUAAGAAUGAUGUAUGUGUGAAACAAAAAGAAUCACACGGCAGUCUUUCUUCAGCUACUCUAAUUUGGAUUGAUUUUAAAGGAUCAGUGUUUGUGUUGUUUGUGACAUCACCGGGGGUUUAUUGACAUCGCAGAAUCAAGCGAACUCGCCCAGCGGAACCGUCGUAUAGCUGCUAAGAGUCGCAUCACGCCGCUCUUUUCUCUCGGUUCAUUCUGCCGGCCCGUGAACGUUUGUGCAUCGGUGGAAUGGCCGUACCGUGUGGUCUGAUUUUAUUUUCACUCUCAAACUCACAUGAUGUUUCUGUAUUGAAGCUUGACUUCAUCAAGAGUGGAAAAACCAGAGGUAAUGAAUCCAAGAAUCGCUUCCAUCCCAAUUCCUUGUUAAUCAGGUUUCAUACGGAAUAGAUUCAAAACCCAUCGUUGAAAACUUUGCACUGAUUUUAUUUUGGUUGUUUGUUUUCUAACUACUAUAAAAAAGAAGUACAUGUUUGGGAAAGCCUUGACGAUGCUCUUGGCUUUAAUAUCCUCUGUCUUGAAAUAGAAAACUGAAAAGCUGGAUACUGCAAUCACAGUUUUUUCAAGUUUGCACUUAAUAGUUUAUUAUUAGAAGAGAAUGGCUUUACCUUUGUGUGCGAGGACUCGCAGACCGGUAUAUGGUGGAGAAUUAGGAUUCAAACUUUGUAUCUAUUGAGCAUUUAUUUUAAUAUUGUUUCAGAUAAAAUCUGCUUUGUACUAUAUGUAUAAUAUUGUAAAUCUGUGAUGAAUGGGGCAAAAUGCAAAUGACCAUUAGUGAAAGUUUUGUCCUCAUUUCAGAAAAUAGUGCUAUUUCUAAGGCAGAGAUACAUAUAUUAAAACAAUCUUAAAUAUGCUGUUUUCCCCCUUUCUUUUUGUCUUCGUAUAAAAUUCAUCCAAAUGUAUUUUCAUAUAGCAGCUUUAAGUAUAAAAAAGAUGAAAUGUUUAGAUUCUGCUAACAAAAUGUGUGAAGCUCAGGAAGUUUAGCUAAAGAAGAAAACUCUUAGGAAAGAGGUUCCAGAGUUCUUGUUUCGCUUCAAGUCGUUUUAUGUAGUACUAAGAGAUAAAGCUACUAGAAAGUAAGCCACUUGAUUUAAAAUAGGAAUCUUUUAAAGAUUAUAACGUGACUAGCAAUCAUUGUUCAUGAAAUAUACACUAACUGGGAAAGAUGAUGUGGACCUAGUCAUAUUUUUGUGAUUAACAUUUUACAUUUCACAUUUUGUUCUUCAUUAAAAAAAACCUCCAUGGGUGUUUGGUGUUGUGUGUUUUGUCUUCUGAUUUGUUGUCCUUGUAGUGUGACACUGGUGUUGCUUGUGCCACCUUCAUAUGAUUUUAACAUGAAACCUUUCGGAAAAGCUCUUUUGAUGAUGGGCCGUGUGUCUGUUUUAUUCAGAGCUUUACAGUUUCUUUUGACAACAGAAUAUUUGUAUUGCAACAAUCAUUCAGGUCUGUUAGUGUCUUUAAAAGCUCUGCGCAUCAGUAAACUGUAGUCACUUUCUGUUUCAUAGGAUUUUACUGCUUCAGUGCUAAAACAUGGCCGUUUACAACAAAUGUAAUGCAAACCCCACCUUAGGUCUAUGAUCUGAGUGCUUUGACAGUGGAUACCCAACAGCACCG